rnacentral:rRNA from 1 species
UUCACGGAGAGUUUGAUCCUGGCUCAGGACGAACGCUGGCGGCGUGCUUAACACAUGCAAGUCGAACGAUGAAGCCCUUCGGGGUGGAUUAGUGGCGAACGGGUGAGUAACACGUGGGCAAUCUGCCCUGCACUCUGGGACAAGCCCUGGAAACGGGGUCUAAUACCGGAUAUUACCUGCCGAGGCAUCUUGGCGGGUGGAAAG